GGAGAAGCGUCAGCUCAAGAGACUAUUGUUGUCAUUGCUGUGGAUCUUUACCUGAUACACUGACUUGGCUCGGGACCAGCACUCCUGUUGUUGGACAGAAAGACAUCAACUCAGUGACUUGAGAUAUGACUGCACUAUGCUGUUGCUGGUGACCACAGUUAAUUCUACAAGACAUGCUGUGACAACAGGAGAGAUGAGUCCUCCGUCACAGAUGGUGUGGUCAGGGAAGAUGGUCGCCUGCAGGUUCAAGCUCAUUGCAUCUCCAACCCACAUCCACUGCCACUGUACUUA